GGCUGUGGCGGUGGCGUGUCGCCUGAGGCGGGCUGGGGGGUUGCCCGGCGCCCUGGGUGGCUCAGCUCGUCGUCUUGCUCUCUGUUGUAUUUUAACAAGAGUUUAGUCUGUCUAGACUAGGUCAACUAGUUUGGGGCUAGUUGGCGGUUUCCUGAGCGCCCGGCUCCUGGAGACUUGUGAUUGUGUAGCGCUGGGAGAAUGGACAUCUCCAGCACCGCCAGGUUUCCGAGCCUUCGGCAUCCUGCUACUGCAUUUUUGAGGCCUGGUACUGGUUUUAGGCUCAUCACAGAAGUCACCAGACAACAAUAAUACUUUGAUGCCUAAUUAUAGGACUUGACUGAUAGAGGAUACCAGAAAGAUUUUCAAAGGGGCAAGAGGGAGGAGAAACUAGUUGAGCAAACUUCUCAAGUGGACAAGAAGAGGUGCAUCCUGGCAGAGUGAGUAGGUGCAGCUUGAGUCCACCUGGUACUGGAAUAUGAAUUGCUUCUGCAUCUACACAUCCUGCUCUCAUCUCUUUGGAGAUAAG